UUUCCGUAAGUGAACCUGCGGAAGGAUCAUUAUUGUAUAACCGAGGUACGAGGGCUGUCGCUGACCCGAAAGGUCGUGCACGCCCGAGUGCCCUCACACACAUCCAUCUCACCCCUAUGUGCACCACCGCGUGGGUCCCCCUUUGGCUUGUUCGGAGGGGGGCUUACGUUUUCACACAAACUUUGUAUGCAGUGUAGAAUGUAUUUUUUGUUUUUGCGAUCACGCAAUCAAUACAACUUUCAACAACGGAUCUCUUGGCUCUC
rnacentral:misc_RNA from 1 species